rnacentral:rRNA from 1 species
GCAUCGAUGAAGAACGCAGCGAAAUGCGAUACGUAAUGUGAAUUGCAGAAUUCCGUGAAUCAUCGAAUCUUUGAACGCACAUUGCGCCCUCUGGUAUUCCGGGGGGCAUGCCUGUUUGAGCGUCAUUUCCUUCUCAAACACAUUGUGUUUGGUAGUGAGUGAUACUCGUUUUUGAGUUAACUUGAAAUUGUAGGCCAUAUCAGUAUGUGGGACACGAGCGCAAGCUUCUCUAUUAAUCUGCUGCUCGUUUGCGCGAGCGGCGGGGGUUAAUACUGUAUUAGGUUUUACCAACUCGGUGUUGAUCUAGGGAGGGAUAAGUGAGUGUUUUGUGCGUGCUGGGCAGACAGACGUCUUUAAGUUUGACCUCAAAUCAGGUAGGGUUACCCGCUGAACUUAAGCAUAUCAAUAAGCGGAGGA